GAAUCUUGCGCAAUGGGGGAAACCCUGACGCAGCGACGCCGCGUGCGGGAUGAAGGCCUUCGGGUUGUAAACCGCUUUCAGCAGGGACGAAAUUGACGGUACCUGCAGAAGAAGGCCCGGCCAACUACGUGCCAGCAGCCGCGGUAAUACGUAGAGGCCUAGCGUUGUCCGGAUUUAUUGGGCGUAAAGAGCUCGUAGGCGGUUCGGCAAGUCGGAUGUGAAAUCUCCACGCUUAACGGGGAGGGGCCAUUCGAAACUGCCGUGACUCGAGUCCGGUAGGGGAGGGUGGAAUUCCUGGUGUAGCGGUGAAAUGCGCAGAUAUCAGGAGGAACACCAGUAGCGAAGGCGGCACUCUGGGCCGGUACUGACGCUGAGGAGCGAAAGCGUGGGGAGCGAACAGG
rnacentral:rRNA from 1 species